UACAGAGGGUGCGAGCGUUGUUCGGAAUUAUUGGGCGUAAAGCGCAUGUAGGCGGUCUGUUAAGUCGCGUGUGAAAUCCCCAGGCUCAACCUGGGAAGUGCGCGCGAAACUGGCGGACUUGAGUGCUGGAGAGGGUGGCGGAAUUCCCGGUGUAGCGGUGAAAUGCGUAGAUAUCUGGAGGAACACCGGUGGCGAAGGCGGCAUCCUGGACCAAUACUGACACUGAGGAGCGAAAGCCAGGGGAGCAAACGGG
rnacentral:rRNA from 1 species